rnacentral:lncRNA from 1 species
GAUUCGGCUGCUUCUCAAGGCUGCGUGGUUUUGGUUGAUUUGCUCCUCGUGGUCUCUGUGUCCGUGAAUUCACCGCGCGUGCGACUCGCACUCACCGAGGAGCAGUUGGGCGUUCAGUUGCUGCCUCCACAUCCCACUACUCACUUCUACGGGAUAAACGCCCCGAAAGGCACCUGCGGGCGGGUGUGCUUGUGCUUUCUGUGUUUUAAGAAGCUGCUAAGAGUUCCAGCGCGACCGGCCACCUCACUCCCCAGCACACUUUGCUGCUGUGGCCGGGGCACGCCCUCCGGUGGCCGGGGCACGCCCUCCGGUCUCCGGGCACGGCCACCGCCAGGCCCCGCCUACCACCGGAGGCUGAGGGAACCACGGAGUUGUAAAUUACUGACUGCUCCGCCGGUUCGUUGCCAGAAGAUUAGUUUUAAAAUAGCCUUAAAUUUAACCAAGGGAAAGGUGAAGGACUGUGUUGAGUUGUCUCUGUAAAGUUCAAAUUUGUACACGAAAUCAACUGGAGGUCUUGCUAAAAUGCAGAUUCUAAAGCCGCCAAGUCUUCAGUGGGCCAAACACUGAGUGAUGCUUUCUUUUCUCUCCCCGCCCCCGUCUGUAAGGGUGGAGCUGUGUAGACGAGAACAGAGAGGGGGCCUUGUGGGGUCUUCUAGCUAAUCCUGACUAGAAGAGUUAAUAACAGAUUGACUUUAAAAAUUUUCCUGGAAAGCAGGUCAAGGACAAGGGUAGAAAAAGAGAAAAGGCAGAUAAAGAAAGGCACCAGGUGGCCCUUGGGCCUUGUACCAGGAAACCAGAAAAAGUAGCUAACAGGACGCACAGAAAGCCAAGCGUAAAGGCUGAGCAGGCCGCGCCUCCAGGACAAGGUCGGGGAAGCAAAGCAGGCUGCCCGCCGCAUAAGGCCAGUGGGUGUGCAGUACUCACCUUUGUUCCUUAGGGUAUUUCCACUGAUGGAUUAUUAACUUGAAUUUUGAGUUUUUCAUAUUAAACAAUAAGUACUUAACAGGAAAAAAUGAAAAAAUAAAGUAUUGAAUUUUUAAUAGUUAUUGCUUAUUUAAAAGUGUCAAAACUUUCAACAUUGACUGUUUUUUGGUGUACAAAGUCUAAAAAAGAACAACAGACAUAAAUAACUACAUGAGCUACAAUGAAAAUACCAAUAGCACUCUACAAAAAAACUUUAUUUCAAUUAUCACACCUAAGGUAGUCCACACACAUAGAACUAAAAGGUAUAAUAGAUAAUUGAAAUAGGAAGAAAAGGGGCAAAGGUGAAGGGGACGUGGGAGGGGUAGGGGAAAGGAAAGAAGGGAAUGGAAUUCAUAUGAGAAAAGGAAAGAAAGCAAACAAAGUCUCUGUAAGUAGGGAGGGAUGGACGGGUUGAAGGGAGGGCAGGGGAAGGGGAAAAAUAAGGACCAAGAGAGACUAUGUAAAGGUGCAGAUUUCCCGUGAUGAAUGUGAUUGUAUUGUACACCUAAAAUGCACCAAUGAAAGAAUAUACAAAGAAAAAAAUACCAAUAGAACCCUAAACAAAAAUAAAUCUUUGCUUCAAUUGUCACACUCAAGACAGUCUUCACACAUGACAACUGCGUGUUCCAUGUACAUAUCUCACGUACACUGACAGCACAGUUGCUGAGCUUUCCUUUUCUAUGUGGUAAGCCAUUCUUGUCACCUCUCCUCCUGGUUUGUCAGGAGCUACCUACUAUAUUGUACAAUGUGUACUUAGCAGGAAAAUAAGAUAUCAAUAAAAUAAAAUAUCAAAUAUGUAAUGAGUGCUUAGAAUAGACAUCAACAUUUUCACAUCAGCUGUGUACUUGCUUACAAAACCUAAAAUAUCAGGGGCUGGGGAUUUAGCUCAGUGGUGCUGCUGCCUGCCUUGCAAGUGCAAGGUCUUGAGUUUAAUCCCUGGUACAAAAAAAAACAAAACUAAAAGAUAACAUCAGAAAUAAAAACCUAUGUGAACUACAGUCUAAAUACAAACAAAAGUCUCCCACAGAAAUAAUCUCUUUUCCACUUUCACAUCCAAGGCAGUCCUCUCACAUGAGACCUGUAUGCUCCAUACACAAGUAUUGUUUAUACAGAUAGCAUGCAUGUUCUAUUUUCCUGUCUUUUCCUGUAGGGCACAGUUGACAUCCUUUUGGUUUUCCUGUUGUCACAGUAGGUCUUCGUGAUGGUGUGCCUGCCUGUUCACCUGUCAGCUCAACAGUAUGCUCUGCAAUUUUUUUGCAUAGUUCCCUGGAAAGAAACAUUUUGUUUUUCCUCUGCUGUAAAUUUCUUAUGAGUUCCAGUCCCAAUCCUGUAAGAAAAUUUAUCCAUGGUAUUUUGCACUUGUUAUUUUCUUUGUAAACUAUCAAACUAUUCAUGCCACACAUGUUUAGGAAUGAGUAAAACACAACCAUUGGCCAAUGGCCAACGCUUUAUGUUUCUAGUAACAUCAUUUUUUGCUGUAUAACUCAUCAACAUCUCCUCCACCUUUAGUUUUGUUGUAGAAAGUGUCCAUCUUAGGCUUCUGUUUUGUCAAGGUUUCCCUAUCAAUAUUUCCACCAUGGUGCAGUGUUGACAUCAGCAGUAAGUUUGCUUUUCUUUGCCAUAUAUGAGGCCAAUGUAAAUCUUUCUGAAAUCCAAAGAUUGUACUAUAUAAUUCUGUUCUGAAAUUGCAACACUUCAUUUGGAAUUUCUGCUUUGUUCCUGAGUACAGUUCCUAUGCUGUUCAACUUGUGCUGUGUCAGCAAAUGUAACAUCAAUUGGAAACUGGUAAACCUAUUGUGGAAUGUCACAUGCCAAUUAUUUUGGAAGAUGGGAUCAACAAGUCUUUUCACAACAUCAUUCUGUUUAUUACUAUAUGAAUAAGGACCUGAUGGCUGAGUUCCAGGAUAAAUUUCUAAAUUGAAAGCAUAAUAACUCUUUGCAUCUAUAAGGGCAUAAAUUUUUAUGCCAUAUUUUGAAACAUCACUUUUCUCUAAGUCUUUUACAUUCCUGCAAUUAGCAUGAGAAAUCCCUGCUAAGUACAGCAGACCUAUGAAUGCUUUUAGUUCAGCUAGUGAGGUAAUAAAUACAUUUAAUAAAUAAUUAAUACAUUUUUUAAUAUGGCUAUUGGUGCAUACAGAACAUUUUACUUGUAUUGCAGCCUUUGUGAAUUUCACAGCAUCUUGUAGCAUUUUGUCUGUUAUGGUUUUCAACACUGAAAGACAGUGCUGGCAUUCUGUCCAAUAGGUGUCACCCCUGCCAAGAUCCUGACUAUAUUUUCAGACCUAGUUCUAACAUAGGAUCAUUCCAUUUGGUUGUGUGGCCAUUUUACAACAUUUCAACGAGUCAAAUAUGCACUCACAUUACUGUUUUCUUUGUCAUCUGUAUCAAGGAGGUCUUCAUUCUAGGUCUGCAUCAGUCAAUUCUUGCUUCAUUUCACUGUCACAGGAACUUUGGCUCACAUGGCCAACAUCAAAGUCAUCAUCUUCAUUAUGCAUGCAUGAGUAAUCUGAUGACUCACUUUUGACCUCCUCCAAAAUUUACAAAUCUGGUUUUUCAUGUGCCAUUGUACUGAAUUGGGCUACUUCUACCAAGAAAAAUCAAAAGAAAACUUUUUUAAAAACAAAUUCUAAAUGCACAGAAAUUUAGCAAUGAGCACCAUUUCAUGGGUUGCUCUCACCUGUUGCUGCUUUGGAGCUCCUGCACACAGCUUGUUGUUCAUCUGCCAAGUGGGUGAAUGCACAGAUGGGGUUUUGCUUUCCUCAGGUGCAGCUACUGUGAGUCCCACCCAUAUUCUAUUAUGAUAAAAUACAUGUUCUCAUAACAGAAAAGUGGUGUGGGUGUAUUUUACCUCCUGUGAUGCUGAGAUAAACAUAUGCAAAACUUGUUAGAUGGAGCAUUGUGUGGGUAAAAAAUCCCGGUUUGACACUUUUGCACACAUGCACACAUCUUACCAUUCAUCAUACCAAGUGGGUAAACACAAAGAUGGCUUCCUGUAUACCUCAGGCACAGCUACUGAGAUGCACAGCAGGCUACUGUUAUGCUAAAAUACAAAUUUUUAGUAGAAAAGUAUGGAAUGAGUUGUUGUAACUCAGUGUUAUGCCCUUCAGGUUCAAUUUUUUAGUUAUCAUUUUCCCUCUCUCCUUUCCAUUUAUCUUUAUUUCUUCUAUCCUACCUCAUGACCACUCAUUUUAGUCACUCUCCUUAUCACUGAGCCAAGAUCCCUGUUAUAGCUUGUGUCUAGAUGUCUCCCCAAAGCCUCACGUGGUCUAGGUGGCUUUUUCAAAAGUGGCUGAAUCUAGAGUGUGUGAUGUCGGGAUCCAGGGCGUGUGAUUAGGCAAUCAGCCCACUGACUGGUUUGGCACCACCCUAAUCCUGGUAGUCUGGAUAAGAUAUUAAGGGCAGAAAGAUGCUUUUAAGGUUCUUUGUUGCUUUUGCUACCUUUUGGGUGCUGUGAACUGUUUCUCCUCUGCCAUGUGCCACUCUGCCUUGGAACCAGUCAAUUAUGGAUUAAAACCUCUACAAACUAUGAGCUAAAUAAACUCUUUCCCCCUUUAACUUUGAGUGUCGGGUAUUUUGUCUCAGCAACAAGAGAAAAAAAAACUAAGACGAUACACAACUUCCACAACCUAAAGGGGGAGAGGCUGAUUUUGGCUCCCAUUGUGGAAGUUUGGGUCCCUGCAUAGUCCCUGCCUGGCAGAAGGCUCUGGGCUGAGGAAGCUGCUCACAUGGAGUCAGCCAGGAAGCAGCAUGAUGGGAGCCGCAGGAGGGGGAUGGCCCCUCCCAGGCCAGCCUCAGGGUCCCACGGCUUCCUCCUAACCUCAGACUGACUGCAGCCCCAUAAUCAAACCACCUUCCACAAGCCCUGCCUCCAGUCACAGGAGGCUUAGGGGAAUCAUCUAGAUACAGAGCACAACUUGUGCUCAUGGUUUACGACAUGGCAGUAAUCUGAACUCAUGAAGUAAAACUUACUUAUCCUCCCAGUAAAGAAAUUGAGAAAAUCUUGUUUCACUUGAUUGCUUUUCUGUGCUACUUUUUUUUUUUUUUUUGCAUUCUGAAGGAACCUUAUUUCAAAAAUAAAUUUUUUCACUACAAAAGUCUUUGCCAUUAUCUAUACAACAUAGCAU